rnacentral:tRNA from 1 species
CAAGAAGUAGCUUACACCAAAGCACUUGAUCUACAACCAAGAGACGCUACUCCAGCCUUCUUGA